AUACGAAGGUCCCAAGCGUUAUUCGGAAUCACUGGGCGUAAAGAGUACGUAGGCGGUUUGGUAAGUCAGGUGUGAAAUCCCGGAGCUCAACUCCGGAACUGCAUCCGAUACUGCCAGACUUGAGUAAUGGAGAGGCAGGUGGAAUUCUCGGUGUAGCAGUGAAAUGCGUGGAUAUCGAGAGGAAGACCAAUGGCGAAGGCAGCCUGCUGGACAUUUACUGACGCUGAGGUACGAAGGCUAGGGGAGCGAAAGGGAUUAGAUACCCUAGUAGUCC
rnacentral:rRNA from 1 species